UAUGACCCUGACAACGGUUACCCUUGAAUCCGCCAGGCCUUGACGGGAGCAACGGUAUUGGACUAACCGGGUGUCAGGGUCGCUUUU
rnacentral:SRP_RNA from 1 species